UACGGAGGAUCCAAGCGUUAUCCGGAAUCAUUGGGUUUAAAGGGUCCGUAGGCGGUUUAAUAAGUCAGUGGUGAAAGCCCAUCGCUCAACGGUGGAACGGCCAUUGAUACUGUUAGACUUGAAUUAUUAGGGAAGUAACUAGAAUAUGUAGUGUAGCGGUGAAAUGCUUAGAGAUUACAUGGAAUACCAAUUGCGAAGGCAGGUUACUACUAAUGGAUUGACGCUGAUGGAC
rnacentral:rRNA from 1 species